CAAUUGAGCACCAAGAUAGUUUUCCCCAAAUUUUGACAAUCUAAUUUCACCCAAAAAGAGUAUGGAAAAACCCUAGAAAUUGGGGAUUUUUGGGCUGAUUCCUUAAGAUAGAAAAAGGCUGAAAACACAAUAAGAACAAAAAAUAGAUUAGAUAAUGAUUCAACACAAGUAGAAAUAAAGAAAGAAUUGACAGUAAGAAAUUAAAAGAUAAGUCCUAAGAAGCCUUGAAAUCUCGAAAGAUCUCACAACUCCCUUCAAACGGCUCUAAUCUCCCCUCCAAAGAAUAUCAAUGGCAAGAAGAAGGUUGAAGAUGGCUCCCACAAUCACAAGAUUGUUAAAACAACUUCUAAAGAAAACUCAAGAGAAAA
rnacentral:lncRNA from 1 species